rnacentral:rRNA from 1 species
CAUGCUGUAAACGAUGUCAACUAGCCGUUGGGGACCUUGAGUCUUUAGUGGCGCAGCUAACGCGAUAAGUUGACCGCCUGGGGAGUACGGUCGCAAGACUAAAACUCAAAUGAAUUGACGGGGGCCCGCACAAGCGGUGGAGCAUGUGGUUUAAUUCGACGAUACACGAAGAACCUUACCUGGACUUGACAUAGUAAGAACUUUCUAGAGAUAGAUUGGUGUCUGCUUGCAGAAACUUAUAUACAGGUGC